UGCCCGACUCCUUCCCCGCGCGCCCGACGCUUUCUCCUCUUUGCCCUAACCGCCGCCCACGGCAGUUUCCUCCUCUUUCUAUCUCUUCUCCUUCCCUUCCUGUGAAGCCACAUUCUCUCCUUCUCCCGACGCCGAGCAACGCCAAGCCCUAGGUGCCGACGCCGCCGACGCCCUCUCCUAUCUCCUCACGCGCGCCACCGUCGUUCCGACGCCGAGCAGCGCCAACCUUCUUCUCCUCUGCCGACACCGAGACCUCCUCUUCCUCCAUCUCGAGUGCCCUAGCAGACUCCUUUCUUCCCGACGCCCUCUGCCCUAGAUUUGGGCCACAACCGCCACCACUUUGCCCUAGCCGAAUUCCUUCCACCGUCGACAGUCCGAGUUCCCUUCUGGUGUUCGUGCCCUAGCCACAACCUACACCGCCGCGACUUCCUCCGCUCUAGGUCAGGCCGACUCCCGACUUCCUCUCCUCCCUGUGCUCACAACCCACCGCACCUCUGCACAGUGCUGACGCUGCUGCCUAGUGCCCUAUGCCCUUAAUCAAAUCCACGCAGCUAAUAGCCCUUAACGGUAGAAAUUUCCAGCCAGCAAACCUUUGAUAUCAGUACAAACUAGUGGCUGUGAGAUUCGACUAAGGCAUUCAACUCAGAUAAAGAAAAAGGAAAGCUAAUAUGAAGGAAGGUGACAAGGAGAUACAAGAGGGG